AUAAGGUUCAAUCCGUUUUGCUGGUUGGCUUCAAAUUUAGCUCCUCAGAAGCCCUAACUUAUCUAUUCUUUUUAUCAUGGCCUUGGCAUCCAUUCAGUACUGUAAUCCAUGCAUCUAAUCUUUUUUUCUCCCCUCUCAGGUUCUGCUGGAGGAUCACAUUGUGAAAACUACAGCCAUGAAAGGCCCUCCAUUUAUUGCACCCUUCAAAAACGAAAUAUUAGCAUGGGAGGCUAAGCUGCGCGACUAAUGCAGGAGAUUAUGGAAACCUGGCUGCAAGUUCAAAAGGCCCUGGUGAUGCCGGGAACCCAUGUUUUGCUCACAGGAUACAUGUAACCAAAUAUUGGUAGAAGGAAAGCACUUUGAAGUUGUCAGUAGGAACUGGAGGUUAAUAAUGAAGGAGUCAGUGAAGGAGGCCAAUGGCAUGAGGGUUAUCUCACAGCCCCAGAUGCUGGAUAAGUUGAAGGAGGCAAAAUCGCUUUUGGAUGACAUUCAGAAAGGCCUGAAUGAUUAUUUGGAGAAGAAAAGACUAUUCUUUCUAAGGUAAACAGUCCAUUUCAUCUGUUGGCUGUGGGCACUGGUAUAAAAUGUGUUUAUAUAAAUAUCUAUAAAGUUCGUUUUUUAUCACCUUUAGGUUUUUUCUUUCUGUGCAACGAUGAGCUCUUAGAAAUCCUUUCUGAGACAAAGGAUCCACUCCGAGACCAGCCACACCUAAAGAAAUGCUUUGAAGGAAUUGCCAAGCUCACUUUUAAUCAUGAGAAAGAAAUUACUCACAUGGAGUCAGCAGAAAAUGAAAAAGUAGAGCUCGUGCUGUGAAUAAUUCCAGCAAGUGCCAAGGGGCUAGUUGAGAAAUGGCUUCAUGAGGUGAAUAUCUUUAGCUCUUACUUAGGGGUUAGUUACUGUAUAAUCAUUUUCUCUUUUAGGAGCAAGGAAUAUCAUAAGCAUAUUUCCUAAGUAAAUAGCUCUGAUAAUUUAUCAGAUUAUUUGACAGAUUGAAUAUCAGCCUUAUUGUUGUUAUUUAUUACAACUAAUUGACAUGUGCAAACAUGCAAAAAUUAAUUUUAAUAAAGAGGUUAUCAGUGUGUGAGACA
rnacentral:lncRNA from 1 species